AAGAAUAUAGUUUAAAUAAAAAUGUUAGAUUGUAAAUCUAGAGUUGAUUUAUUCUUG
rnacentral:tRNA from 1 species